AGGUGGCACAAAGAAAAGGAAAUAGAACUUGUCACCAUCUUCAGUCCUUUAUUUUAUUCACUGGAGAACAUCACAGCCUUCAGAUGUGUCAUAUCAGGAUAAAUGCAACUGCAGGACUCGUUGGGCCCACCCCACUACAGAUUCACCAAGGAUCCAGCUGAUCACUGCCAAUUUGAAGGAGGAUUGUCCUUUAUCUGCUACAUUGCACUCUCACUUCUGAGGCUGUUAAGAAGACUGCACUGAUGUCAAAGAUCAACCAGCAAAAAUCUGAGAGGGAACUCUCAAAAUGGUUUACUGGGACAAGAGACAGAGGAGGACUGAGGGUGUCUAGAAUGCACAAAUGUCUGUCUGCAGUGUAAGCAGUACUGAAAAAUGUAUAGUUGCUGCUGCUGUUUCUUACUGUCUCUGUUUUCUAUGUGCAAAUGUUCAAAGCUUUCAGUAAACACUGGUUCAAAUACAAGUUCAAAAUGUUUGUUAACUUUAACAAUUAAAUGAUUUGAACAGUUAGGUAUCAGAAUAUAGCAUAUGAUGGGUAGUUUCAAUAAAAUU